AGCGCGGCGCGAGCGGGCCGGGCGGUGGGGCGACUCGACGGGCCGGGGCCCGGUGCCCAGCAGGCCGGUGCUGUCACCGGACGAAGCCGGCGGGGCCCGAGGCGGGUGCGGCCUAGAUGCUGUCAGCCAGCCGGUGGGCAGACCCGUGUGGGAUGCCACUGUCCGGCAAGCUGGAUAAAAUGGGAAGGAUUUGGGGAAAAAAAUCAACGCUUGCAAGAGCCUGUCCCUCAGCCCUCCUGCCCCUUCAGGCUGUAGGGGAGUUUAUACAAGAAAAAUAGCAUUUAAAAGAGAGUUGCACCCAAUAUAAUUUGUUUUGGCUUGAAAGAGGUUGUGGAACUUCUUUUGGAUAGGGAGAUUGGGAGAUUAGAAUCAUAGAAUCAUUAAGGCUGGAGAAGGCCACUAAGACCAUGUAGUCCAACCACCAACCCAUCCCUACCAUAUGUGCUAACCCUGUCCCUCAUUGCCACACCUCCACGGUUCUUGAACACCUCCAGGGAUGGUGACUCCACCACGUCCCUGGGCAGCCUGUGCCGAUGCCUCACCGCUCCUUCUGAGGAGUUGUUUUUCCUAAGAUCCAACCUGAACCUCCCCUGACGCAAAUUAAAGCCAUUAUUAGCUCUUGUCCUGUCACUGUUACCUGGGAAGGGAGACAAACCCCCACCUCACUACAACCUCCUUUCAGGGAGUUGUAGAGAGCGAUAAGGUCAUCCCUGAACCUCCUCUUCUUCAGACUGAACAACUCCAGUUCCCUCAGCCGCUCCUUACAACUUUGUCAUUGGGAUCUUCCAGUUGUGUCAAAAUGGGUUAUUCAGGGGAACAGACCCAUGGGGGUGCUUUGUAAUGUGCGUCAUGUCUUUGAGACCCUUAGUAGACUACAGGUAUCUUUAAAGCUGCUGUCAAAGUUCGGGUUCUUUUUGUCACUAUCUCAAAAUCCUUGGAAUUAAGGGCCAAACAACAAGACCGGUUUCAGUGGCAGUGCAGUUAGGCCCUGGAUCUGCAGUCACUGGACAAUACAGCUACUUAAAACAAAAAAUGGCAGUGUUUCAUGCAUGUGUCUUUUUCUUGAACGGAAAACUCACACAGAGCUCAGUUGCCACAUAUUUUUUUUUUCUUUCUUUUCAUUAAUGUAAUCAAUAUGAAGUUGGGUUGGUGGCUCAUCUUUGGGGUUAAUUUGUUAAUUUCCCUUUCACAAAGACUUUUCAGCUACUCCUGUUGUUAAAUAUAUGCACACAAAGAUACAUCUACUAUGACUUUUAUGGUCAUUCUCAAAGUUAAAAUGUGAAGGACAAGAAAAUGACUACCAAGCUGGUAAGAGUAGUCUUUUUAAUACAGCAAAGAAUUCUCUGAAUGCUUUUAAAAUUAAACACUUAAAAUACCAGAUUAGGGAGCAGGUUGAUCAUAUUUGUUGCAGGAUAGCUGUAGUAUGUUCACAGCCAGAGCCUAUUUGUAGACUCUAAUUUAGGAUUUGUAUUUAAAAGUAAACAAUAUGACAUAAUUGUCGUUGUCAUCAUUCCAAAAAAGGUGUCAUGCAGUAGUUUCUAAGGACAGAUGAAGAGAUCUGUUCUGAGUUAUUCUUCAGAACAAGUGUUCAAGAGGGUGGAAAGGUACAGAAAAAGAAUUCUGAGGAAGCCUCUGUCGCAAAGUGAGAUGAUUAGGAUAGCCAAGCAGAAUUUCUUGGGGCUUUGCCACAGGAAGGGAUCAGGAAUUCAGAAUGAGUGGCCCAUUCUUCAGUGUAAGGGCAGCAACGUUAAGGACAAGAAGGAGAACCUGUGUGCCAUGUAAGCAUCUCAGAGAAAAGAACUGAUUACUGUUGGGGAGAUAAAUAUCUUUCUCUCCCUUAAACUGAAGUGUCUAAGUGUGCUUUUCCCUGGGAAAGAAGGGUAAGAGGACAGAGUACAAGUGAAGCGUAGGAGCAAUAGAAUUUACUUACCCCAUGAGAGCUAACAGCAGAGUAAUUAGAAUGUUCCUUGCAAACUAUAAGAGCCAAGACUAUUUCCUGUAUUUACAUGUUUGGGCAAACCUACUGUAAAUUUAUUGAGGGUUAUAGUACAGAGCUCUUUCCUUUUGUCCUUAUGUUGUUAUUUAACUUUUCAUAAAGACAGAAUCAUAGUGUAGAAUGUAACUGGUGAGGUACUCUGCAUUAUUGCUCAUAACUAAGGUUCCCAUAUUUGGACUGUUGAAAUUUUCUUUUCAGACAGUGUUUGAGAAAAAACAUGGGUCUGGGUGCAGUGAAUUGGACAUAUUAGAUCCACCCCCAGAUCAGGAUCACCUUAUUGGAGGGUCAUACCUAGCAGCAUUUAGUCUUUGGCAAGAUAUCAAGGCAGCUCAUUCCCAUGAGAUUUACAUUUGGAUACACACAGCCAGGUAUCAGGAAUUCUAGAACCUGCAUGGCAUAUGGUUGAACACUGUUGUAAAGAAAUAGCAGUAGUUUGGGUGCAUGGCACUUGAUUUCUUUUGAGGAAUCAUGUACCAAAGUUGUGAGCAAGCUAGGCAUGCUUGGUAGGUGAUUCUCAUGGUCUCAAGCUUUUUCCCCAGAAUGGAACAGACUUUUGGCACUGAGAAAUCUCACUAAUGGAGUCUGAGGUAGAGAUUGGGCUGGAGCAGAGGCUAGUGAUGACAAGUGACUAUCAGUUGGAAAGAUGGAGUGAGAUAUUGGCCUCACCAUUGUCAGUAACAACUCUCACCAGUUUCAGCAGAAUCAGGAUUUCAAGUCUAGGGCCAGACACUGUGAGUAGCUAACCUGUAAAAUAUUCAUGCCUCUGCUCUCUUGAUUAUUUCAGAAACCAAGGUGUUUACUGGUGGUUCGGAAAUUUGGCAGUAUGUAAUGUCUGCUCAGUCUGCUAAGUGCAAACUGUAAAGCACUGUAGGAUUUUGUGACAUUUCUUCAGAACAGGAGAGAUAUUCUGCAAGGUGUACCCACCUCAGUGCAGAGGCCAGCACAAGAUUUAUGUAUUGCUUAAGAGACUGUGAUAGAUGCUAUCAAAGUACAUCCUUUUCAAAGGGCUCAAGGAAUUCUUCCAAGGGAAAUUUCAUGCCAGUGCUGUAGAUUUGUGCAACUUUAGAAUAGUAUUUAAGUAGGACUUAUGUAAUACAGAGACCUGUGAAGGACCCCUGCACAGUGGAGAAUUUCACCUGCAGUAUAUUUGGUUCUUGUGCUUUGUAAAAUGUUUGCAGAGUAAAGACAUUGUUGGUAAUGUCUGGCUCCUGGGUUGGCUCUGAGCACAGACAUAAAUUUCCCCCCAUGCUGAAGAUGUCUGCUCUCCCUCUUGGUGAUGCCUAUUUUCUCCUAUAGCAAAACCGCAUUCGUAUGACUAUCAAGAACAAUUCCUAUGGAUAAUUAUUGCGAUUUAUUUUUAUUAAUUUUUAGCCAGAUCCUCAGUUGUUUUUUAAAUAUUUCUCAGAAGUGUUUAAUGACAUAUUUUAAAACUGUUUCAAAACUGCCCUCUGAAACUUAAUUUUUGUUCUUGAAAAUUGGUCUGUGUUGCAUAUUUACACGGGGAUAAAUAAAGAUUUAAGGGCAAAUAUACAAAAGGUUAUCUUCUGAAAAUACAGAAAAUCCUUAGAAGGAAAUAUCUACUUUGUGUGACUGUAAUGGAAAGAAACCAGUAUGCUUCUGAAAAUCCCAUUAGAUAUUUAUCUGUAUCCCUAGGCUUCUAAACACCUUUUAAGACUUUUUUGUUUUCAUUAGAACUAUAUUUGAGAGAUGGAACACACAUCUUUUGCAUCUAGCUUUCACAGAUACACUACUAAGUGUGUAUUAUAGUGUUCAGUUAUUUUUCAUGCAAUUCAGGUAGUGUGGACUUGACAUCACUUCUAUCAGGUGGUCAGAAAUGCAAAUGAACUUAACCCUGUCCAUAAAUAAUUACCUAUAUGAAAUUGCACUGCUAACUUAUUUGUGCGAGCAAGUAAAGAAAGUAAAAGUUGGCCUUUAUAUAUAUAUGUGAUUUAGAGAGAGAAAGAGGUUCCUGCUGCCUUUGUGGUUUGUUCACCGUAUGUGCCCUGUCCUGUACUGAAGAAUUACCAAACUAUUUUCAUAGCCAGGGUGGAGUGGUAAUAAAAACUGAUCAAGGAUACAGCUACUCACAUGCACAGUUAUGCAAAUCAGUGAUUUACAAGGCUUCUCAGAAAGUAAAGCCUCCUAUUUUAUGAUGUUGGCCCAUGACGUCAGAGGCGGAUGUUGGCAGUAGAGGUUGAACCUUCUGCCAGUAUCCUGUUGUUGCCCUGCAACAGAUGGCAGCAGAGGGGCAGUCUGACAAAAUGGCGUCUGACAUGGAAGUGCUAUGAAGCCAAGUUGUGUCACUGAAUUCCUCCAUGAAGAAAAAACGGCACCCACUGACAUUCAUCGAUGCCUGCUGAAUGUUUGUGGAGAUCAACCAGUGGAUGUGAGCACAGUGAGGCACUGCCCAACGCACAAUGGGCAGUGCGUUUCAGCUGUGGCAACAGUGGCAGUGGGUCACCUCCACUGAUGCAGAUGUUUACAGGUGCGGCAUGCAGGCUCUUGUUCAUCGCCGGUGAAAAUGAACAGCUAAUGGUGGUGGCAGUUUUCAGUGGUUGAAAAACAGUGUUCUGUAGCUGAGAAUUUUCUCUGUCAAGUAGUGUUAUCAUGCUCUUUGUAUCUGUUGUAGUUUCCCUGGGUAUAUAGAGGAGGCAUUACUUUCAGAGUGAUCUACGGAGUUCCACAGGUAUAAAAAUAAUAAAAGGAAAUUUACAGUAGCUGAAGAAGUCGUUCCAAGUAGAUAGAUUUGAUAAUAUUUUUGAAUGGUUGAGAAUAUUUGUCUGAUGUUGCCAUCUUGGAUUCCUCAUAAAUUGUACAUAUAAAUAAUGUCAUAUUUUAAACUAAAUUUUUGAAUAACUUCUUCAGCUCAAAUAAAAAAAAAUAGCAAAACAGAGAAUAAACACUAUCUUGUGGACCCAUGUAUCAUUUUUUUAAUUUGAAUAAUACUGCACUUUCAGUUCUGUUAGUGGGCAGUAUUAAACUUCUCAUUCCAUCAACAGCUUUUAGUUAGUAUGAGCAGCAGUGUAGUCCUCUGUGAGGUUCUGAGUUGCUGACCUUGGGAGGACACUUGUUAUUCUUUGUACUCCUGGGGAGGAGAAUGAACCUCUCAGCAGUACUUUAAGAGAAUGUGGGCCAAGCUUACUGAAGUUUAUGCUAUAUACUGUCUGUCUGCUCUCCUCACAUGCCACAGAUUCCGCUGAUGUUUUGUUAAUUGAAUGUGGAAUGGAAGGAAAAAACUUUCUUCUUGCCAGAAAUAAAAUACCAUUUCUCAUGCAAUAGAUGGGAUUUGUUGAAGCACAUGCACAGACACUGGGGAUAGUCUCACAGAAGUGACAACUCAUGUAUUUAAUGUAUUUUCAUCUGAAAUUUAAUUAAUCCAGUUAAUUGUACAUAUUUAUUGUAAGCUAUAUUGCAGUGCAUCUUUCAGCUACUGUAAAUGCAUUCCUUGCACUCAUACUUUUUCUGUGCGUGACAUACAGUUAUAUGAAGUCACUGUAGUGGUACAAUUCAGCAACUGAAGCAGUUGAAAGGACCAGUGCUGAGCAUGGUUAUGAACUCAUGACUAAGUCACCCUAGGUGAGUGGUAUGACUUUUGCAUGCACCUUCCCUAACCAGUAAUACAAAAGCAACAUGGUGUGAAACCAGCAGAGACUUUCAUAUUCAGAAUUCAGGAAAGGAAGCGGGAGCGCUGACCCACGGCUGUGCUAUGAGCAGCCUGAGCAGCCCUGGCCUCCCCUCUGCCUGCUGUUACAGAUGUUACUUUCUGCCACCCUUCUGACUGUGUGUGGGUAAGAGGGAGGUGUCCUCAGUCCAGGUAAGAUUUCUAGCCAAUGCAAGCCAGCGCCACACGACCAUUAACAUAGAAAGCUGUGUAUAUGUACUUCAGUAGGAAAAUCAGUUGCAGUGAAUUUAGAAGUGCAGUCUACUAGCUGUAUGAACCAAUGUUAGACAAAAGCAUCUGGAUUUUCUUUUUUAAACAGAAGAAGUCUUUGGUUUUUGUUGUUUGCCCAUCUCACCCCUUCUCAGGUAUUAUGUUUGAUGGUCCUUUGGUCUGUGCUAUUUUAACACUUGAGUUUCAAUAAAAUGCUUACUCAGAGGCUAUGUCAUGCUCUUGGUUUACUUUGCUAAAUGGAAAGUCAGGACUCAAAAUAAGCCGGCCACUGCUGAAACGCACAGCAGCUCUGCAGUGUCAUGGUCAUUAGCAGUGCCAAUCAGCAUUCAAGAGCCCUUUUUUUUUAUCACCAUUACAGAUGCCACUGGAACACUGUGGAGCAAAAUGAAUAGGAUUGGUGACAUUACAGAGAGAUUGCUUGCCUUGAGACAGGAACCUACAAAUGCUUGAGAGGAUGAGGGAAGGAUGACUUCUUCCAGCUGAGCUCUGUCCAGCAUUUUUAUGCAUCCAGUACAAAGUGCAGAAUGUCUCACGUUUGCAAUGCAUGUCACUAUCCCAGUUACGUAAAGCUAUUCUUUUUGCGCUGUUGGCUCACUGGAGAUAAUUAGGAAGUGGUUGGGGCCUAAUGAGAGGAGUGAUUAUAGUUCAUUAUUUUUCAUAUACUUUCUAUCAUGAAGCUAUAUAAUGACUAAGUAAAUUUAUGCACAUUUCCUCCUUUUCACUGAGCCUGCAGUGAAGUUUUAGUGAAGUUAGGUAUGUGAUCUCAGAGGCAUGUUGAGGUCCCUGAAGUUUUGUGAAUGUAGGUGUUGGCAGCUUGCCAUGGAGUUUACCUUCUUCCCACUUGUAUUCUCAGAACAACCCAGGGACAUUCCUUUCUAAUCCAAACUCUUUGUGACCAGGCUUGGGUAUGCACAGAUGCGCAGCCUCUGCAGAAUGGCAAGUAGCAGAUACAUGCUAAUAGAACCAAAGACCUUGCUGGUUCUGUGAUAGACUGAAGAUAUCAUCCUGUUCAUUAGUUUGAUAUCAAACUGAUUAAUAGUCACACUGCUGAGCUCCCCCUUGCUUCUGUUGCACAGUUACUGCUCCAUUUCUUCUAGUGCUCAAAGAACUAUUUGCAGGGCUGUUAUUUGUGUACAGCGAUAUAUCUCAAUCCCUUUUUGCAGAGUUGAGAGUAUCAGUUCUCCAAUCUUCUGCCAUCUUUAAGGUUAGGUUAGAGGUGAACCAUGAAUGGACAGUAUGUUGUCGGAUUACAGACACUAUUUGGCAAUAGCAUUUUCUAUUUCUAGCAAUAUACUGAGAAAGGGAUUUAAAAAUAAUAGGAUAAAAUAGGAUAACUGUCACUGACAGCUUUCAGAGAAAUUUUAGGCCAUGCUCAGGGACAAAAAUUAACAAUGUCAGUGUUAGAAAUACUUAUUUUUGCUGAUAUGGUCGGUUCACAGUUAGGCAUUAGACUUCCUACUAAUUUAUUGUUUCAGUUUUUAUUUGAAUACAGACAUGUACAGUAUACAGAUGCAGGAUUGAUUCAAAGCCAGAAAAACAAAACCAAAAGCAAACAACAACAACAACAAAAACAACCAACAAACCCACAAUCAAUCAAUCAAAAAAAAAAAAAAAACCACCAAAAACCAAACCCAAAAUAAUGGUUAAAAAUAAUAUAUUGUCCUAAAUGAUAAUUGCUUUGAAUGCUUAGGAUUCAAAAAGUGGAGAGUCAACUCUGUAACAUGGGAUGUGAAAUGAGUGCUGGCUUUGUGAAUAUUUUGUAUGAAUAUAUCUCCUACUUCUGAUCUUCAGAUCUUAUGAUCUAGGAUGUGGAGAUACUCCUGGGUACUUGCAUGUCACCUCAGCUGUUACUUGUUUAAUGCAACUUAAAUAUUUGACAGCUAAAGCCUAGUGGCAUGGUUUCCUUUUGUAAGUUUGUUGGUUAUUAAGUAUGAAAUGUUCUCAUUUAUAUGUAGAAUAUGGAGAAGCCAUUUUACAUUAUGGAAUCAUAGAACAGUUUGGGUUGGAAGGGACCUUAAACAGGUCUUGUUCCAACCCCACUGCUAUGGGCACAGUCACCUUCCACUAGAUCAGGCUACACAGAUCCCCAUGCACCCUGGCUUUGAAUACCUCCAGGAAUGGGGCACUCACAUCAUCUCUGGGCAACCUAUUCCUGUGUCUCACCACCCUCUGAGCCACUUUAUGCGCUGGAAGAAGGGAAGACUGUAAAUGUUAAGAUACUUAUGGUGCAGAUGCAGGAAACAGCCUAUGUCAGUAAAGUGCCAUUGCCCUUCUAUUUUUACAUUCAGAGAAUCCAGAAUUCGCAUGAAAUCAUGUGUUCCAGGAUUGCAGCUCCUGGUGCUAAGUGGUGAUGCAGAAGGUGGGCUUCCUGCAGUAUUUGUAUGUGCUCUGGGCUCAGUGCUGCUGCUGCUGCUGCCCCUUGAACACAUCAGGCAGGUGGGACUUUUCUAAGGACUUCUUCUGGGAGGAAGACACACAGAUCAUUCUUCAUCUCACAUCUGGACCGCAGAGAUUCUGCUGCAUAUUCAUACUUUUUUUAAAGUUCGGUGAACUUAUUCACUCUCUAUUAUUAAAAUUAAAUGUGGAAAUAAGAGAUCUAAAUACUAGUGAUCUGCUUUUCCUAAUCUGAGAUGUGUGCCUGGACAUAAAAGCACUCAUUUCCUUUGAUGAGUGAACAUACCAGCUCCUUACAGUACAGGACAGGCAGUCAAGGAAGACACCUGUUAGGUAGUUCUGUGCUGCCUUUGGUAUUAAUGUUAUGCUUCAGAAACUAACAGAACAUUUAGUUGAUAUACUGUAUAUCUCUAUUAUGUAUAAUAUCUCCUCAUAAAUAUGCAUGUGUAACAAAACUGUGGCAAUUUGAGGAAUUUAUGUAGAACUUAUGAAUUCUCUUUGAUAUCACAGGUCCUCCAGAUAUCUCUGUUUCAACCUGCGUGCUCUGUACUGAAAAGAGAACAGUUUUUUUUCCUAAGCUUUUUGGUGUAUUGAAUUUUCAAAGGGCCAACCAUGGAACAUCAUGAAAUGCUGAUAAGAUUCUCAGACAAAAAGAGUUAGCAAUUGCUCAGAAUGAUUUAUUUGCCAAAGUGGAUUAGUUACUAAAAUGUGGACCACAUCCUGAGGAAACCUGGUGAUGCUGACAGAGAAAGAAAAGUUAAAAAAGGAGGAGGGUAGUCUAAUGGCCAGUCUGGAAUGAGACAGAAAUGAGAAGAAAAAGCGUGUUGUAGAAAUGUAAGAAGUGUUUUUCUGCUGUCACAAGCAGCCAGAGGGAAUUGAGUACGUAGAAUUUGUGAAAACACAAGGCUAGAUUUAAAUGUACUUUUGACCAAUUUGGGUGAGUUAUAUAAUGAAGUUGGGAUAGCUUUUGGUAGAUACAGGGAGGAGAAGAGAGCUAUAGUUACAGCCUUAGUUUGAAACUUUCAGACUUCUGCUUCACUUUGCAGUCUUGGAGUACAAUUCUGGACCUGUUUAUAUCAAAGCAAUGUUAAGGUGAAGUGGGUUUUUGACCCUUAAGCUGAUUAACCUUUACUUUAAAAUCUGCUAAACUGGAGAUACAGAUAUUCAAAUAUGGCUCCUAAUGAAUAGAUAGAGUAAAGCACAUUUCAAAACAGUGCUAAAUGCCUCUUUUUAAUGUAAAAAUAUGUCUUAAAUCACACCUAGAGAUUUCUGAAAUUGAACAGUAUAAAAAAGAUGAAUAACGAGUAGUAGUAAGAAUAUGCUGAGAUAUAAACACUGGGUUUCUAGGUGCUAAAAGGAAGAAAGAGAUGCAGGUCUAGUAGACCUUGAAUCACGAUCAUCUCUUAAAGCUUCGAUAUGCUGUAAUGUGAAUAAAACUGCAUGAUUUAGCAGUUUUAAGAAAGAAUUUCUGAAGUGACUGCACUGGUGAAAGAUUUGUUCUGCUCUGUUCAGUGAGAAGAUCCUUGAAGGAGAUUUUUGAACCAGAGUAGUUUACAUGCUUUUAUUUCUGUGGUAAGUUUAGAGAAACAUAAGUACUUAGAAAACGCAUUGCAAAUGUCCUAGUUCUAUAUAACCUGCACAUUUCUCCAUCUUGUUAAUGAGACCAGAAAUAGUUACUAUAAGUUGGUGGUAGGGAUCGUUCAACAAGGGAAAAAAAGCAGUCCUUCACUCUUGAAGUCUGUUUCCUUAGCUUUCUUCAUGAAAAAUGAGUGCAGGUGCUGCAAACAUAGGACAAGAGGAGCGUUUUUUUCCACAGCAGACAGAGAAAAGAUGAAAGCUCAGUCCUGUGACAGGAUGUGGAAAUCCUUCUGAACAAAUAUUUCAGCUGCUACUACACGGAUGAGGGUGUAUUUAGGGUCUAUUUGUCAGUGCCUUCCACCUCGCUUGUAUGACAUUUGCUUGGCAAACAUGUAUUUUGCAGUGAAUCGGUCAACUUUUGUUGUCCUGCAUUAAGACUUGUCACUGUGAUAUAUUAAGGCAGCAAACUGGUAUCUAGUAAGUAUGGCCAGUUUCAGAUAAUUGGGAAUUCAUUUUGAAUACACUCAGUUUAUUUUGGUGGUGUGCAUAAUGUGAUCACAUGCUGUUCAUUCAGCAGUGGAAGGUCAGUAAGUACUCCUUCGGAAGCAGAAGGGAUUUUCAUGGUUAUUUCCCAUUAAGUCUAUUGGGAGUUAAGCAAAGAAACUUCUGGCAAAACUCAUGAAAGUUCAGAUUUUGACUGCUUUACACCUCUAACUUGCAGCUAUAGUAAUUUACUUGUUGGUCCUUAUGAAAUUGAACAUAAAAUCUUUCUUACUGGGAUUUGCUUGCUACUUCUGGAUAGAAAAAGAUUUACAAAGCGCUUCUCAUUCAGUACAGAGAACCUUAUGCAGACUAGGUGGAGGGAGCUCUUGGAGAACUGUUUGACAUAGAGACAAAACCGAUCUGUCUUACUACUGGAAUAAUAGAGAAAAAACAAGACAGAAACAUAAGCUGAUGCACAUCGGGCGUGUGCAGCACACAUGCAUUAAAAGUGAGUGAACAGGAACUUUAUAUUAGUCUGGCGUCCUUGAGAGUGGGCUGUCCUGUGGGUUUCCCUUUUCCUUGGGUGAUAAAUCUUGGAGGAAAACCAAUGGAGUAUAAAUUGAAUAUAUGAGUUCUGAAAUGUAUUUGUAGAAUAGGAGUGGGGAGAACAUUUUUUUCCAAUAUUUAUUAAGAUGUAGGUCAAAUAAUUUACUGGUAGCGGACUGAGAGAAAAAAAAAAAAGACAGCAUCUAUUUUAAGAACCAAUUUAGAUUUUCACAUAAAUGGAAAUCAAGAAUAAUUCUACUGCAUUACACAGAAGUGUAAGGGCUGGUGCAAGGUCAGAAUGAAGCCUCUUGUGAUUGCUGUUCAAAAUGAAUUUAAAUCAGGAUGACUGUACUGAUUUCAGCAACUUCAAGCUUUUUCUUAACCAGAUGAAAAUUUGGCAUUCAGUUAAUCAAAUAAAUAUUUUAGGUAAUAUUUUCAUAACGAAUCAGAUGGGGCUGGAGCCUAAUGUGGCUGUAGUUCCCCCUGGGCACCAUCUGUUGCAAGGUGUUCUAUGGGUCAAAAGAUAGGAAGCCCUCGAUCCUAUUGACUUAGCUGCUGCAUCCAAACCUGCAUUUUGUCUCUGACCUUGUCCAAACCCCCCACUGAUGCAAUGUGAACACUGUGUGCAACACAGUCUUUUUUCGGGCUGUCAAAUCUUAAUAUUUUAGAAAUGCUGAAUUUGUCAGGAGUUGAGGUAAUUCACAUUUGAGGCUUUGAACUGAAGCACUGAAUUCCAUUUGGAGUAUAGCACUAGCCCCAUAAGCCCAUCUCUAAAAUUCUACUCCGAAAAGAGGAUUACUGUACAUAUGCUGUAUUUGCUCCCUUUUUUCCAUAACCUUUUAAUGCCUUGGGGAUUGAGUUUCACUAGACGCAGUGGGAGAAUCCUGGUACAUCUGGUUUCCCUGUGGUCUUACAUGAUGACUGAACAGCCUCACAGCUUUUGUGGUCAGGUUCCCUAUGGGCUCACACUGUGAUUAGAUUUAUUCACCACAAAUACAUCCUUGUUUGCCAUAUAGAUACGAGUGAAUUGAGCUGCUGUUUAUGCAUCCCAUUUACAACUAAGAUUUCAUAGAAUCACACAGUAAAUUAGGUUGGAAAGGAACUCUGCAGGUCACCUAGCCGAUUUCCUGGCUUGAUCUCUUCCCAGAUAAGAUUUUUCUCCUUUUAAGGAUAGGCAAUUUAGAGAUGUGCUUUCAGUCACCCUUGAGUUCUAGCAGUGAUCUUUGCUUUCCUACUUCUCUCAAUUCCAAGCGCAGACUCCACAUACAGUCUGUAUUUGAAAAAACAUACAAGGUCUUUAAAAAUAAAGAGUAAUCUCCAAUACUGAAUUUUGAAAUCUGAAAUCUGGCAUGGAAGAAGGUUAAAGACUCAUAAGCCAUACAGUUGUAACUGAGAGCAUCUAAACAAAGACCUGAUCAACUAUUCGGUUUUUGUCAUAGCAGGAGAUGACUCCUUGGAGAGAAGAGGUAGUAAUGGCCUGGGUGUGCAGUUGGAACCCAGGGAGACCCAGCUGUGUCACACCCCAGGCAGGAUUUAAGGUUACCCAGCAUCUGUGAGGUUACCCAGCAUCCCUUACAUCAGCACAGCCUGCUGCCAAAACCCUGGCAUGAGAGAUGGCCGUGACAAAGUUGUAUGGGACUCAAAAGACACAGUUUGAUCACCCCUUUAAGAGAGCUUGAUUUAACUUUAAGACAAUAAAAUUUUUUGAGCUGACUUCACUGACUUUUUCACUAGGGCCAUAAUUAUUGCUAGAUAACACUGACUUGUUCUUGAGAAAGCACUUUCUGCCUAUUCUUAACGUACAAUGGUUUCUGGGAUUUAUGCUUUCUUUCUGCAAAUACAACAGAAUGAAAAACAUGGCUGUGACAUUUAUUGCCGAGUACUGGUUUCCUAUUGGCAACUGCACUGGAUAUAUGGUCAACAUCUUUAAUUUUUAUGAAGAGAUGAAAAGUGAUUUGUGUAAGGCCCAUUGAGAUACUACUUUUUACUGAAAAAAAGGACUUUUAUUUUUUGAUAGAUGUAGAUUAUAUAAACACUGUCAGGUAUAAACUGUCUCCAAAUCUCAGGUAGACUUUUCGAAGUUGACCACAAAUGGCUUUUCUUAAAAGCUCAAACUUUAACAAGGCAUAAUUGUUCCUUGCCAUUCGUGAAGACACUGAAAUAAAUACGUUUGAGAAAAAAAUGAGUCAGGAUGACUUCUGCUAAUACUCUACAUCAUUUAAGGAGAUUCAAAUACAUUUUAGAACUGCUACAUGUGACUUCUGAACAAUCACAGCUAGAUCAUAUUAGGUUAAAGUCUGAGAAAUAAGUGCAGGUAUUUACCGUGUAAUUUCCAUACUGCUAAGUUCUGAAAAAGGUUGGCAGAAAAUGUCCUUGAACAGUUCUGGAAUUAAUUAAAGACAUCCUGGUUUCAUAGGUAACUCACGAAAUAGAAAGUGAACAUAUGUUGAUAAAAAUGACAAUUUUCCUCGCUUUAAUUGUGCUGGGAUUAAAAUUGGUCAUGUUUUAGGACUGCUGCUUUUCUUUGAGGGGGUUUGGAAGGGACAUGCUGUUGUGUCAUUUAAUCUUCGUUUUACAGCAAUGUGUGUGAAGAACUGUAUUAACAGAAGAACAAAAGACAAAGACAGAUCCUUCUCUAAUGAAUUUUGGAGAACUACGUUGCUCUGCAGUAUUUUGACCCCAUUUGGAGAGAAAAGGUAAUUUUCAAGCUCUUUUAUUUGCGAAGUAACAGUAUGAAGAUGUGCAUGAGCAUUUUCGUGCCUUGAAUGAAGGCAGCUGGGAGAGCUGCUGGAAAUGUGGAUUCCAGAUGAAAUUUCCAACACAAAAACAAUUGAGAAGGAACACAGCCAACACAGUGAAGCUCAGGUAGAAGAAAAACUUCAACCCAACCCAGCAGCAAGCCCCAGUAUAUGGGGACAAGAUGCUUUUUCCCAAUUGUAAUGGUUGCAGUUCAGAGAUCUGCUAGGGGCCACCCUACUUUCAGGUCUUCGAAAUCAUCAAGAGCUUGUUCUCCCACUUAGCACUCCAAUGGGCUGCUUCGUGUUGAUUUUCUCAUCAAUAUCUUGGUUCUGCAAGAUGAAUGAUCCAGAAACAAAAUGCUGUGCUAGCUGCCUGUUGUGCCUGCUCCUAAAUUUGAUAGAGCUUCCCACAUAUUUGCAAAUAUGGGGCAGUUGGGGAGACCAGUCAAUAUCUGGAAAUAUUUUGAAUAUCUAUUUAAUUUCAUUGUACUUUUUUUUUUGUUUUCAGUUCAGAAUAGGCGUGCUUUUACAGUAGUCUCCAUACCAAACCUUAGUAGGUACAUUCCAGCUUGCUUGCUGAAAAGCUUUCUUUCUGAAUAUUGAAAAUGUAAUAUUUAUGUACUCUUGCCUAUUCACAUGAACUGAAAAUCUUUCUAAUUUUAAAGAUGGUUACAUUCUUUUGUGAAUUAACCCUUAGUGGUAUGGUUUACUUUUCAGUCAUUAUCUAACACAUUAAAACCUUGUUCCGCAGAAGUUAAAAGAUCAGUUUCACUGGGAACAAAGUGUUUCGGGUGCUGUGCAUCCUCAAUAUCAUCAAAGCUCACCCUAGAUGUUUUGCUGCUUUUAAUUCUAGAUACUGCUCUUAUUUUUCUAAUCUGGUGAACAAGCCCCCCCCAUUUAACUUCACAUCACUUCAUAGCAAUUUGUUCAGUGUAAAAUGGGAGGACAACCAGAUCCAAGCCCUCCUCUCCACCACUCUUAAGAAUCUCCUGACAUUACAUCAGCUUAGAUCUGCCAAACCUUUCAGCAGAUGUAAAAAUGAAUGGAAAGGUUUUGUAGUAUAAUAAUUAGAGCAUUUACCAUGGCAACAGACCUAUUACAGUUCUUCCAUUUAGUCAUGCGUUAUCUUAUUAAAAAUGGUGAAUUCAACUCCCCUACUCCAUUUUCACAAAGCUCCUGUAAACAGCUUUUUUACUAAGAAGAAGAACCUAGGAUUCAGACUGUGCCCAGUCAGCACACAACGUCUCUGGGCUAGUCCAGGGGCAGCACUAAUUGCGGGGGCACAGUGAUUGCAAACUGUAUGGACAAUACACUCCAGAAAUUCCAGUGAGCAUCCUGGAGAUGCCAUGUUUCCUAUGACACCAUAGUGAAGUCACUGACUAGUUCCACUUUUCUCAUUCAAAGAAGGAUACAAAGGGUAUGCAAGCAUUAAUAUCUGUAAACAUAAAACACUUACAGAUGGAAGACAACAUAAAAUUGCUAGUGUCAAUAUAGUACUAAAGCAGUGUCACCGCCAGCAGCAGGAUUUAUCUGUGUGGGAGAAAGGGUUCACAGAAGUGUUUUAUCAGUUUUAGUACACCCAGAGAGGCAAGGGCAUUAGGAACUGGAUGCACUGUUUGCAUUCCGUUCUCAGGUACAGCUGUAUGCAACAGAGCAGCAAUGCCUAGCUGUUGUGCAGCAAUUGGAGGUGCGCAGUGAGCAACAAAUGACAUCUGUCCAUUCACAAAGGGACUGCAGGUUGGCUGUUAAAUGCUGUGGGACAGCUUGUUUUGAGCUAAGCUGCUGUAAAGGCAGAUGGAAAUCACAGCAGUCAAAAGCAACUUGUUCCUCAUUUACAACUUUCUUGGGCUAAUGAGAGGGGAGGUUGCUUGUUAAGAGGUAGGCGUUGUCAGGCUGUUUUUGCUUUCUGCUCCGAAUGUAGCCACUAAUGGUGUUAACUCAGUGCACAAAACUGCUUUGUGCACUACUGAACUGAAGUCUCAAAAAAACUAGAACCCCGUUUUCAUAAAAAGCUGGGAUAAAACAACCUCUUUGGAAGUAAAAAAAAAUGUAUCAUUCAAAUAACUGUACAGCAUUAGAACAUCUUUUCUUCAAAAGAAAAUGGUCCUUUAUAUACUUGGGUCUCUAGCUAGAAAACUGCCAUAAAUGGCUUUUCUGGUACAAAGGCAUAAUAAUGUUGAAAAUUCACAGUCCAAAAAAAAAAAAAAAAAAGCUUCAAGUCUCCCUUGUACCAGAGAAACAGGCUCCUGCACAACUGCAAGCUUUUAGAUUCAAGGUAAGAUGAGCCCCUGUGAAGUGCUCUCAAAUGACUAAUACUGAAAUUAGAUAUACUAGAAUAUUGACAUUAGAUUUCAUGCAUACCAGUAAUAGGACAAAGAGAGGUACACAUAUUUUAACAAAACGGAAAGGAUCUUUUACCUGAGUGUGCAAAGUCAUCUAACAUAAGUAAAGUACCUAAGAAAAUAUUUAAUAUAAGCAUUUUCAGCAGUUUCAGUCAUUUCUGUCAUCUCUGUUUUCCUCUUCAUAAAAAUUACUUCAUCAGACUGAUAACAAAUCAUAUGUGAAAGUUUAUUAAAGCAGAAGAAAAACAGCGAUAUCAAAUUUUACAUUUAAGUAAUUGACAAAUGCAAGUCUUCGACAAUAAAGCUUCUGUCAGAACCCAGGAAACAAUACCAUUAUGCUGUGCAAACACCUUUCAAUGAAGUACAUACAGCUUCAGGCAAAGAACACAGUUCCUCAUUUCUCUAUAGCCCAAUGCUAAUUAUUCCACCAAAAUGUUGUACUCCUACAGUGAAAGUGUUGCACAAUCCCGUGAAACUGUAGCCAGGGAUCUCAUAUCUGUUCCAAAUUGAUGAUGAAGGAGUCUGAGAAAAGCUGCUUGUGAUAAAAUUUCUACUAUUGAAAGCAUUAUUUAAUAUUCUACUGAAAAAGUGGCAGACUUCUCAAAUGUGGGGCAAUGCAAAGCGUACUGAGUUGUCAGGUGUUUUGUUGUUUGUAAGGGUAAUAAUAGUUCAGCCAAGCCUGAAUGCAAAUCACACAUGAUGCGUGCUUGCACACACUCAGUUGAAAAAUCACAUACUGAACUUUGAAGGUGACACUACUAUUCACAGCUCAUUUUAGGGCUGUCCCACUGUGGCCUUUGGAAGCCAAAAAAGGGGUACGAGAAGAGCUACUUGGCAAGGCUUGCAUUUCAGCAGAGCAACUUUGGGACCAUUGUAAUUCCAGUAGUUUGAGAGCAGAAACUAAGAUUAAUGUGGCUUGCUGGGCUGAAUCCCAGUUUCAACCCCACAGUAUUUUGGAUACUUUCAUUAUACCUUCCUCCAUUAACCAUGAGACAGACACAAUUAUGAGACUGAAAUAAACUGGACUUCUCUCUCCAGCUUCUGAACAGACAGAAGUCAAAACAGCCACAUAUGGUACAUGGAAUAUAGGAAUCUUAGAAUUGGUAGAACAUGAUCUGCCCAUCCAAUUAUUUACGUAAAACCUAUUUUGCAAUUCCAGUCAUUGCUUUGUGCUCUACUAAACAGAGACACUAACAGAGAAAGGGGAGGAACAGUAUCAACAUACAUAACUUUGCAUCACAUUUCCCCUUUUCUCUCCAACUUUGAAAGAUAAAAGACGAGAUUUCUACCAAGAGUGGCAGUGCCAACAGCACAAGAUCAGAACAAAAUUCUGUGAACUGCACAGAGUUCACCUUCCUCCGCUGCUUAUUCUGCUGCUUUUUUUUCUUUCCUGCUGUUAUUUAUUUGCUUUCAUGUGCUCCUUCAACUAAGAUGACAGUGAGAACAUCCUCAUAAGCCUGAGGGCUUUGUGGUUGACAUUCUCAGCUGUGUCAUUUCCACACUGCUACGAAAAGAAAGAAAUGGGUUCUAGAUCUGCUAUUGAGUAGAUUCUUUCAACCAUAUAACACACUAUUUGACUGAGCAUGAAUAGAAUUUUGCAUCAAAAAAUUUUUACUUUGUUUUUGGUCCUAUUCUGUGGAACUCUUAGGUAUCAGUGAGAAAAGAAGCCUAAAUACUUAACUAACAACACUGAGUUUAUCAUGAGGAGGACAUUCAAGAAUAACAAAUUUGUCUACUAAACCCAGGAUUUUAACAAAACAAGUUGUUUCAAUAUUGCAAAAGAAAUAUGCACAAUUGUCCUGAUAAAAUUUAAUAACUGCCUAAUUCAGAAACACUACAUAUAAUUCCACACUAAAAUAGCUAAAUCUUCAUUUUUGGAAAAAGCAAACAAAAAACCAAACCAAACCAAAACACAACACUUUACUCAGCAUGCUUAAAUGAAAACGGAGUGCUGAAAAUAAAGAAGUGGCAACAAAACAUACUCCCUACUUGAUUCACACAGCUUUACAUGUUGAAGUAAAAAAAAAAAACAACUAUCCCAUUCUGGUAACAAGAACACAGGCUA